AUUGAACGCUGGCGGCAUGCCUUACACAUGCAAGUCGAACGGCAGCACGGGAGCAAUCCUGGUGGCGAGUGGCGAACGGGUGAGUAAUAUAUCGGAACGUGCCCAGUCGUGGGGGAUAACGUAGCGAAAGCUACGCUAAUACCGCAUACGAUCUAUGGAUGAAAGCGGGGGAUGGCAAGAACUCGCGCGAUUGGAGCGGCCGAUAUCCGAUUAGGUAGUUGGUGAGGUAAAGGCUCACCAAGCCGACGAUCUGUAGCUGGUCUGAGAGGACGACCAGCCACACUGGGACUGAGACACGGCCCAGACUCCUACGGGAGGCAGCAGUGGGGAAUUUUGGACAAUGGGCGCAAGCCUGAUCCAGCAAUGCCGCGUGCAGGAUGAAGGCCUUCGGGUUGUAAACUGCUUUUGUACGGAGCGAAAAGGCUUCCACUAAUACUGGGGGCUCAUGACGGUACCGUAAGAAUAAGCACCGGCUAACUACGUGCCAGCCGCCGCCGUAAUAC
rnacentral:rRNA from 1 species